UCAGGCNUAACACAUGCAAGUCGAGCGGAACCAUUGGAGCUUGCUCCAUUGGUUUAGGGNNUCNGGGUGAGUAACANGUGGGCAACCUGCCCUGCAGAUCGGGAUAGNUCCGGGAAACCGGUUAAUGGGAAAAUAGUUUGCGGCCUNUCANGAGGCUGCAGAAAAAGACGGUUUCGGNUGUCANUGCAGGAUGGGCCCGCGGCGCAUUAGNUAGUUGGUGAGGUAACGGCUCACCAAGGCCACGAGGUGUAGCCGACCCGAGAGGGUGAUCGGCCACANUGGGAAUGAGACGCUCCCCCGCCUCGUACGGGAGGCAGCAGUCGGGAUUNUUCCGCAAUCAGCGAAAGUGUNUCGGAGCAACGGCGCGUGAGCGAAAAAGGUUUUNGGAUCGUAAAAGUUUAUUGUGAGGGANGANCAAGUNCANUUAACUGUA
rnacentral:rRNA from 1 species